UAACAAUAGAUCAUAACCUUUACAAAGAUACGUUACAUGGUAUAUCUAGCAUAAAACAUAUUCCAGUUAUGUCAUAUUUACACUCAUAAGCAUAUUUCUAUAAAGCAUUAUAGAGUGCAACAUCACUAUAAUUAUGAACUUCACUGCCCAGCAAUCACAGAGACCAGAAUCUGUAGCCUGGAUACAGCCUGAGGUGCUGGGGCCUUUGUUGAUGUAUCAGUGCACUUCUGGCAAUGCUGCUGGGAUCCAGUACACCCUGGGGCGCACCAUUGGUGGCUCAGCUCCAGCUCCUGCACUGGUGCAUCCAUGGUCAAGAGCUACAGUGCCCCCUGUGACACACUGUACCUCAGCAUGACACCCUGUAACCUCCAUAUUCAACAUUUAUAUAUGAUGGUAUUUCAUAUAAGGCAUGCCAGGUAAGGUAUCAUAUGAAAGGUCAUAAUCUGCUGAAACCCAUUAUUCUGUCCAAAUGUGUAUAUCAUUAGUGUGUGUGUGUGUGUAUAAAGUUAUGAAAUUGUGCUGUAUGGUUGUUACUGAAAUAUGCUGUAAAUUUGCUAGUGACAUACAAAGGAUCCCUGCUCAGAUAGGUUAAUCAAUCCAUGAAUCAACUGUAUGACUCAAGUAUGGAAACACCACACAAUGGGAACUGCUCGAUCACUGUGACUCAGCAAAGCCACCAGGACAUGCCUGUGCUAGUGUUUGCCAGGCACGUGGGCCCAGGGUAUAAAACAAGGGACAACAGCAUCAUGUCUUGGCCUUUCUCCUCCCCCACCUAUGCUGGAAAUAACUGGGACACUAAGAAGAUGAAGAUCAUCAGAGGAGAUUGGUCCAGGCUUCAGGAACAAGUCUGUGCAUUAAGGACUGUAACAUCCUGUGGUUUAUGUCAAAGGCUGACUGUUGAACUAUAACCAAUUGAAUUGAUUCUGGAAGGACUUUUGCAAAUCAGCAGCUCACCAUUUCUACUAUGAAACUGACGUAAGAACUUUAUUCAUAUCUGUAUGUAUAAUGAUCUUUUAAGCAUAGUAACUCUUUUCUUUUUGAAUUAAUCUUAGUUUAGUUCAUAAGAAUUGGCUGUAAGCGUGUAUUUGGGUAAGAUCUGAAAUAUACAUUGACCUCGUGGUGGGUAAUGUGCCCAAUCUUUUGGGAUUGGUAGAACUUUAUAUUAGUGAAUAAGAUUUUAUGUAAUCCUCACCAUAUUAGACUUGGUUGUCUGGUUGGGAGCCAAAGGAUGGAUUGUUUAAGGGAACCGUAUUUUUGCUUCUUGGUAACCAGUAAGGUAUUGCAGAAGCUGUUUUGUUACUGACUUGGUGGCUCUAAUUAUUGGAAUAAACCACCAAUUUUGGGAA